rnacentral:rRNA from 1 species
UACGAAGGGGGCUAGCGUUGUUCGGAAUUACUGGGCGUAAAGCGCACGUAGGCGGAUUUGUAAGUCAGGGGUGAAAUCCCGGGGCUCAAACCUCGGAACUGCCUUUGAUACUGCAAGUCUCGAGUCCGAUAGAGGUGAGUGGAAUUCCUAGUGUAGAGGUGAAAAUUCGUAGAUAUUAGGAAGAACACCAGUGGCGAAGGCGGCUCACUGGAUCGGUACUGACGCUGAGGUGCGAAAGCGUGGGGAGCAAACAGG